CGGUCCUAAGGUAGCGAAAUUCCUUGUCGGGUAAGUUCCGACCUGCACGAAUGGCGUAACGACUUCCCCGCUGUCUCCAACGUAGACUCAGCGAAAUUGAAUUCCCCGUGAAGAUGCGGGGUUCCCGCGGUUAGACGGAAAGACCCCGUGCACCUUUACUACAGCUUCGCACUGGCAUCAGGAUUGUGAUGUGCAGGAUAGGUGGUGGGCUUUGAAGCAGAGACGCAAGUCUUUGUGGAGCCUCCCUUGAGAUACCACCCUUCGCACUCUUGAUGUCUAACCGCGGUCCGUUAUCCGGAUCCGGGACCCUGCGUGGCGGGUAGUUUGACUGGGGCGGUCGCCUCCUAAAGAGUAACGGAGGCUCCCAAAGGUACCCUCAGCACGGUCGGCAAUCGUGCGUAGAGUGUAAAAGCAUAAGGGUGCUUGACUGCGAGACAUACAGGUCGAGCAGGCACGAAAGUGGGGUUUAGUGAUCCGGUGGCACCGCAUGGAAGGGCCAUCGCUCAAAGGAUAAAAGGUACUCCGGGGAUAACAGGCUUAUCGCGCCCAAGAGUUCAUAUCGACGGCGCGGUUUGGCACCUCGAUGUCGGCUCAUCGCAUCCUGGGGCUGGAGAAGGUCCCAAGGGUAUGGCUGUUCGCCAUUUAAAGCGGUACGCGAGC
rnacentral:rRNA from 1 species